rnacentral:lncRNA from 1 species
UGGGGAUCCUAGUGAGAAACAGACUCCUGAAGGAGUCCUUUCCCCCUCCAACUCCGACUCAAGUCCCGGUGGGAGUCGAAUUUAAUAUGGCUACUUUCUCUAUAUAUGAAGCUUUUGUAUCUAAGAUUGAUCUAGUAAAAAGCUUUCUUUUCAAUGAUUCUAUCUGAUCCUAGUGAAGAGAAUCCUGAUUCAUGAUCGUCGGAUAGUGUACUGGCAGCCACCUUGACUAGAUCGAGUAUUACUAGAUCUGAUCAUCCAUAACUUUUUUUGAAUCAUCUGUAUACUAGUUCAAUCACGAUUUAGUUAAAUCACUUUAAUUGGAUUGAUCGGAAUGCUGAAAAAUAUUACUUGAUCAGCCUUGUUCCACCUUAUUAAUCUCUCUCCUCUAAUAUUCUCUAUCUAUUUGAUCAAUGAACCCAACGAAGGAUUUUGAAUCUUGCCGCUUUAAAUCUGAGUUGGCCUAAUAGAGAGGCUUUAAACUAUCUAUAUCCUAAUCUGAUCUUGAUCAGAUGGAGUUAGAUGAUCGGAUCGAUCCAGAUCGUUAGAUGCAACUAUCUGUGAAUCAUAUCUUUCUUAAUUAUCUGUAUCCUCUCUAAUUAUUAGACUUAAUUUUGUAUAGAGGUGCCGUCAUCUUGACAAGAAGACGUCCAGCAGUAGGGAUACUAUGAUAUGAUCUUUUAAUUAAAGAUUUUUAAAAGAAAAUUUUGAAAUUAUUUAAAUUUGUUGGAGUACGUAUAAAGUAACUAAUGUUUCAGUUUUUCUAGAUUUAUCAAUAAAUUAUAAAAUAUUUUUUAUAUUAAAUUAGUCAUGAUUUUGAAUGUGAUGCAUAGUAUUUUGAAUUACCAAAUAUGCCCUUUUCUGAAAUGUUAAAUGAUUUAUUAUCAAACAUAUUGAAUUUGAUAUAGAUUAUCCGAUUGAUUUCGACAUCUCGUGAUUUAUGAAUCUUUCAAUUUAGAAUAUCAAUUAUGUUUUCAAGAAAAAUAUUUUAAUUUGAGAUGGAUUUUGACUCACAGUUAGAUUCUAUUUUCAAUAUCUUAUCAGUAGUUGUACUCUAAUACUUCUAUAUCCUGCCAGUGAGUGUUAUGCGCUGGUAUUUCGAUACACUACUAGUAGAGGCUGUGCGCUAGUAUUUUGGUAUCCUACCAGUGGAGGUUGUGCGCUGGUAAUUCGAUACACUAUCAGUAGGACCGUUAAAUAUUAGUAAUUUGAUAUCCUACUAACGAAGAUUGUGCACUAAUGCUUUGAUACCCUAUCAUUGAAGGUUAUGCAGUAGCACUUUGUUUAAUUCAUGGCUGUCAAGAUGAAAGUGAUAUUUUGAAAAAAAUCGAUUUAUGAAUGAAAUUUGAAUUACGAAAAGAUUACAUCCAUAUGCUUAUUAUUUGAAAAGUAUCAUAUAUAUGAAUUGGAUUUUGAAUUAAUGUAUGCAUGCUUAUUUUCAAUAUAGAAUUAUUACUGGAUUUGUUUAGUUAAAGUAUUGAUUAUUUAUUGGACUGUCUAACUCAUUACUCUAUAUUUUACUAUUUUUAUAGAUUCAGAUGACUAAUUUGACUCGGAGAUUCAUUGUGGAAGAG